UCCCAUUUAUAACGGGUAGUUUUUGCAGUAUGUAUAUAUACAGCAAAUAGAGGUUGCGCUCGUUAAGGGACUUAACCAAACAUCUCACAACACGAGCUGACGACAGCCAUGCAACACCUGUAUAAAAAUAGUAUACUUUUUUCGCAAAAAGAUUUUUAUAUGUCAAGAACUGGUAAGGUUAGGCGCGUAUUAUCGCAUUAAACCACAUGUUCCACCACUUGUAUAGACCCCCGUCAAUUCCUUUGAGUUUCAACCUUGCGGUCGUACUUCUCCGGCGGAGUGCUUCAUGCUUUCGCUUUUUCUGGGUAAAUUAUGUCUACUCCUUAGCACUCAUCUUUGAGGGUGUGGACUAC
rnacentral:misc_RNA from 1 species